rnacentral:rRNA from 1 species
GACGAACGCUGGCGGCGUGCUUAACACAUGCAAGUCGAACGGAAAGGCCCUGCUUUUGUGGGGUUCUCGAUUGGCGAACGGGUGAGUAACACGUGAGUAACCUGCCCUUGUCUUUGGGAUAUCUUCAGGAAACUGGGGCUCAUACCGGAUAGGAGCUCCUGCUGCAUGGUGGGGGUUGGAAAGUUUCGGCGGUUUGGGAUGGACUCGCGGCUUAUCCGCUUGUUUGUGGGGUAGUUGCUUACCAAGGGUUUGACGGGUAGCCCGCCUGGGAGGGGGACCGGGGACAUGAGGACUGAGAGAGGGAGCAGACGCCUACGGGAGGCAGCAGGGGGGAGUAUGGCAGAGUGAGCGGAAGUGAGAGGCGGAGACGCCGGGUGCGGGAUGACGGCUUACGGGGUGUAAACAGCUGUCGAAGGUGACGAAGAGUGAGUGACGGUAAUGGGUAAAGAAGCACCGGCUAACUACGUG